rnacentral:rRNA from 1 species
GACGAACGCUGGCGGCGUGCUUAAUACAUGCAAGUCGAACGGAAAGGCCCUGCUUUUGUGGGGUGCUCGAGUGGCGAACGGGUGAGUAACACGUGAGUAACCUGCCCUUGACUUUGGGAUAACUUCAGGAAACUGGGGCUAAUACCGGAUAGGAGCUCCUGCUGCAUGGUGGGGGUUGGAAAGUUUCGGCGGUUGGGGAUGGGCUGGAGGCUUAUCAGCUUGUUUGUGGGGUAGUGGCUUACCAAGGUUUUCACGGGUAGCCGGCCUGGGAGGGGGACCGGCCACAUUGGGACUGAGAUACGGCCCAGACUCCUACGGGAGGCAGCAGUGGGGAAUAUUGCACAAUGGGCGGAAGCCUGAUGCAGCAACGCCGCGUGCGGGAUGACGGCCUUCGGGUUGUAAACCGCUUUCGCCUGUGCCGAAGCGUGAGUGACGGUAAUGGGUAAAGAAGCACCGGCUAACUACGUG